AUGCUCAUGAAAUCGGCACCCGCAUCAAGAAGCUCAAUAAGAGGCUCGACUCCAUCAAGGAGCGGAGCAUGGGAUGGUGUGCUCAAAACACCCUUUGUUAAUGCUGCUGCUUCAGGCAGUCGAGUCCUCAUCACCACUAGAGAUGAAGAAGUCGCUCAAGGGAUGAUAGCCAGACGACCCUACCACCACGUUGACACAUUAUUGCCUGAAGAUGCUUGGUCAUUGCUCAAGAAGCAGGUACUCUCAAGUGAGAUAGAUGAAGACCACAUCAACAUGCUAAAGGAUAUCGGAUUGAAAAUUAUACAAAAAUGUGGUGGUUUACCACUUGCGGUCAAAGUAAUGGGAGGACUCUUGCGUAAAAGAGGAGGCCUACAUCGUGACUGGGAGCAGGUUUUGGAUGAUUCUAAAUGGUCAAUAACUAAAAUGCCUCAAGAGCUCAACUACGCAGUAUACUUGAGCUAUGAAUAUAUGCCUUCUUAUCUGAAGCAGUGCUUUCUAUACUACUCUCUUCUUCCUAAAAGUAAAAAGUUUAAUCUGAAUCAAGUCGUUGCGCUGUGGAUGAGUGAAGGAUUUAUUCAUGGAAACUUUAGGGAUUUAGAAGAAUUGGGAGAAAAGUACUACAAGGAGUUAGUAUCUAGGAACCUUAUAGAGCCAGAUAAAUCAUAUGUUGAUCUAUGGGUUUGCAGCAUGCAUGAUGUUGUUCGCUCUUUUGCUCAAUAUAUGACUAAAGAUGAAGCACUUGUAGCUCAGGAUGGAGACAAUGAUAUUCUUACUAAACUAAGUUCACAAAAGUUUCUUCGGUUGUCCAUAGAAACCAACCGACUGCAAUCAGGUGAACUUGACUGGAAAUUUCUACAGGAGCAGCAAUCAGUGAGAACAUUAUUCUCAUCUAUCCAGAUCAUGAUGAAGCCUGGUGAUUCAAUGGUUACCUUUUCACAUCUGCGAGCCCUAUAUAUAGAAGCUGCAGAUGUGGCUGCAUUGGUUGAAUCAUUGCAUCAACUCAAGCACCUGAGGUAUCUAGCACUAAUAAAUGCUAAUAUAUCUGUACUUCCAGGGAACAUUGGCAAGAUGAAACUAUUGCAAUUUCUUGACCUUUGUGGAUGUGAAAAUUUGGUGAAUCUUCCUGAUAGCAUUGUGAAUCUUGUCCAGCUGAGGUUACUUGAGCUUCCCGGCACAAGUAUGAUACCUAGAGGGUUCAGUGGUCUAACAAUUAUCAGGAGACUAAGUGGGUUUCGAGCCUACAUGGAUGGUGAUUGGUGCAGUUUGGACGAGUUGGGGCCUCUUUCCCAACUCAGACUUAUUGGAUUAGUCGAUUUGGAAAAUGUAUCUGCUGCCUCGUUUGCUGCUAAUGCUAGGCUUGGUGGGAAGAUGCAUCUUAUCGAUCUAUUCUUGUACUGCACUAGCAGACUGGGACAUGAUGGGUUGGUCAAAGAGAAAGAAGGUGUCUCUGAGGAAGAGCAGCGAUGUAUUGGGAAGGUGUUUGAUGAGCUCUGCCCUCCAUCCAGCGUAGAAAAUCUUGAUAUCAAGGGGUAUUUUGGCAAGCAACUCCCGAGGUGGAUGAUAUCCACGUCAACGGUACCCCUCACCAACCUGAAGUAUCUAAUGUUAUCUGACCUGGCUUGUUGCACACAACUUCCCAAUGGGUUGUGCAAGCUCCCCUGCCUGCAUUUACUUCAGGUCAACCGUGCUCCAUGCAUCAGGCAAAUUGGGAAUGGAUUCUUGCAGGAGGCAGCAGCUCCAUUUCCAAGAUUAAACAAGUUGAACUUAAUUGGAAUGGUGGAAUGGGAGGAGUGGGAGUGGGAGGAGAAAGUACAAGCCAUGCCCAGGUUAGAGAACCUCGUGCUCGAUAAUUGCAAACUGUGGCGUGUUCCUCCUGGCCUUGCCUCCAAUGCAAGGGCUUUGAAAGCAUUAUACAUACAGAGGGUCCAUCACCUUAGCUACCUUGAGAGCUUUCCUUCUGUUGUUGAGCUUACAGUGUGUCAAAUCCCUGACCUGGAGAGGAUCACCAACCUCCCCAAUCUGCAAAAGCUUACCAUCACCGAUUGCCCAAAGUUGAAGGUGCUGCAGAGUAUCCCUGCACUCGAGAGGUUGGUCCUGGAGGAUUGUGUCAUGGAAGAACUCCCAGACUACAUGCUAGAUAUAAAGCCAAGGCAUUUGCAGCUGCUCUGCAGGAUAUGGUUGCUAUAUUCAUUAGCCGCAGGACAAUCUGGUCCCGAGUGGGACAAGUUCAGCCAUGUGGAGCAUGUCAAGGCAUAUGCACAUGAUGGAGACAACCAAAGGAAAUGGUACGUGCUAUACACAAGAGACAACUGCAAGUUGGAUUCGAACAUUAGCAGCUCUACCACAUUUGAAGAAACCUUAUCAUCUUCUAUGCUGGAUGCACAAGGAUUUGAGUCUUUGUACAAAAUGAGAAGAAGUACCUUCAGUUAUGUUUGCAGCUUGGUGAGGGUGCCAUUUCUGGAAGAUAUGAUGGCAAGGGAUCACACCUUUUUUGAUGGGAGAGUACUAUCUUUACAGGAUCGAGUAGCUGUCGCUCUAAGAAUGCUGAACUCUGGUGAGUCACCAGUUACCAUAGGAUCCUCUCUUGGUGUGGACGAGUCAACUCUCUCACUGGUAACUCAGGUAUUUCUCAAGGCUAUGUGGGAGCGAGCAAUGCACCACUGCAGCUGGCCUGGCUCCGCUAAAAUGGAGAAGCUCAAGUGCAAGUUUGACAAGAUCCAUGGUCUGCCAAACUGCUGUGGUGUUUUACAUACAGCUCACAUCACGGUUGGGUCAACAAAUUGUGAUGGCAAGGAGAAUGACGGCAUCCUAGUGCAGGCCAUCGUUGAUGCAGUUAUGAGGUUCACAGACAUUUGGUGGAACUUGACAGGCAGUAUGAACAAAUCGAACAUUUUGCGUGACUCUGAGCUCCUUGAGAAGUGUGAGAAUGGUGCUUGGCUUAAUGGCAGUAUGUUGAGGUUAUCAGAUGGCUCGGAUGUCGGAGAAUACAUAAUUGGUAAUGCAGGAUACACUCUUCGUCCCUGGCUCCUCACACCUUACCAAUUGGAGAAUGACCUCUCACUCUCAGACUCCAAAGCAGAGUUCAACAGGAGGCACACUGCAGCUACAGUCGUCACGCUGAGGGCAUUGGCAAGGUUGAAAGACACGUGGAAGUGCCUGCAGGGAGAAGGGUGGCAUCCAAGUAAUAAAGAUGAAAUGUGCGACACAAUCGGCACGUGCUGCGCGUUGCAUAACAUAGUGAUAGACAUGGAGGAGGAGGGUGCAGGCAUGCCGAGCCAUCAGCGGGAGAAUUACAUCAGGCAAGUACGGCAAGUAGCAGAUGAGGAUGCUGUCAGAAUGAGGGAUAUAUUGUCCCAGCACUUGAUUGAAUCUGGAGUCCACACAAAGGCUGCAGAGGAGGAACAAGAAGCACUAGUUGCAUCCAGAUCAGGAGAUAAAAAACAAGGAACAAGAAGCACACCAACGGCAGACAACAGCUCAAGGAAAGGAGCACGGUAA
rnacentral:rRNA from 1 species